rnacentral:rRNA from 1 species
ACGCUGGCGGCACGCCUAAUACAUGCAAGUCGAACGAAGUAGCAAUACUUAGUGGCAGACGGGUGAGUAACAUGUAGGUAUCUACCCUAUGGUGAGGAAUAACACGAGGAAACUUGUGCUAAUACCUCAUAAGUCUUUACAGAGAAAGCUUUAUGCGCCAUUGGAUGAGCCUGCACUUGAUUAGUUUGUUGGUAGGGUAAUGGCCUACCAAGACUUUGAUCAAUAGCUGAUUUGAGAGGAUGAUCAGCCACAUUGGGACUGAGACACGGCCCAAACUCCUACGGGAGGCAGCAGUAGGGAAUCUUGCACAAUGGGGGAAACCCUGAUGCAGCGAUGCCGCGUGAGUGAAGAAGGCCCUUGGGUUGUAAAGCUCUUUCGUCGGGGAAGAAAAUGACUGUACCCGAAUAAGAAGGUCCGGCUAACUUCGUGCCAGCAGCCGCGGUAAUACGAAGGGACCUAGCGUAGUUCGGAAUUACUGGGCUUAAAGAGUUCGUAGGUUGUUAAAAAAGUUGGUGGUGAAAUCCCAGAGCUUAACUCUGGAACUGCCAUCAAAACUUUUUAGCUAGAGUAUGAUAGAGGAAAGCAGAAUUUCUAGUGUAGAGGUGAAAUUCGUAGAUAUUAGAAAGAAUACCAAUUGCGAAGGCAGCUUUCUGGAUCAUUACUGACACUGAGGAACGAAAGCAUGGGUAGCGAAGAGGAUUAGAUACCCUCGUAGUCCAUGCCGUAAACGAUGUGUGUUAGACGUUGGAAAUUUAUUUUCAGUGUCGCAGCGAAAGCAUUAAACACACCGCCUGGGGAGUACGACC